UAAAGGUGCAUGUUUGCAAGUUGCCCACUGAAAAAGGUUCUCUUCCGCAUGCUGACGCCUGUUCAUCCAUUCAUUUAUUCAUCAACUACUCACUGUCUGCCUCUAUUAACAUGAACAUGGAAGACACAGAACUUGCAUUGGAAGAGCAAAUUAGACCACACAAUGAUGAAAAGCUUGUGAUUAGAGCUCUGGUAGGUGAUGAAGGCUGAUACGGUGGGGAGCAUUUCAGUUGAUCCCUGAAAAAGAGGCUCACCCAAGAAACAAAAGAUUGUG
rnacentral:lncRNA from 1 species